UGUAUGGGUAGUGUUAUAGUUUUUACACUAAUUAUGACACUAUAAAACGGUUAGAACACGUAGGAUCUGGCUAAAAAUUUUAGUGUGGACCGUCUUUUAAUCCAGUGACAGGUGACAUUUAUUCGAUGUUAAAACCGAGUUAACAAGAUACAUUAUCUCGAAUAGGCUUGUGAAACACGCCUAACACAAUUUCACUGAAAACCCUUUCAUUCCGCGGAUCUAUAUUUAAAGCCGUCAUUAAUCGAGUUCCAAAACAAAACGUCCACAAUAAAUUUAAUAUUUCGAUUCAUCGAACAGGCCUUUUCUGUGGGUUCUUGUAUAUGUAUGUGUUUGAUAUUCAGGCAUAAUAGUCGGACCAUUGUAGUCCGAUUUGUCCGUGGCCGAGCGAGUAAGUUAUUUCAAACACAAUAGUUCAUUAGUUUAUCGAAUCAGAUCGGACCAGUCAUUAAUCUUACCUGACUAGAGUUGGCCAAGCAGUCUUUCAGAAUACAGUACAACAUCCAGGUCGAAUAAAAGGGACCACGUUGAAGCAAAGUGCGAGAAAAACGGCAACAAAACGCGAAAAAUCCUCGGUGAAUAUUUUGGACAACUCUACGACUUAAAGCUGCUCAAGAGGAGCUUCGAGAUGACGUUCAAUAUUUAAAAGUAAAGUUCGUUUGGUC